rnacentral:rRNA from 1 species
CAGCAGCCGCGGGAAUACGUAGGGUGCAAGCGUUAAUCGGAAUUACUGGGCGUAAAGCGUGCGCAGGCGGUUUUGUAAGUCUGACGUGAAAUCCCCGGGCUUAACCUGGGAAUUGCGUUGGAGACUGCAAGGCUAGAAUCUGGCAGAGGGGGGUAGAAUUCCACGUGUAGCAGUGAAAUGCGUAGAGAUGUGGAGGAACACCGAUGGCGAAGGCAGCCCCCUGGGUCAAGAUUGACGCUCAUGCACGAAAGCGUGGGGAGCAAACAGGAUUAGAUACCCCUGUAGUCCCUGUCUCUUAUAC